rnacentral:rRNA from 1 species
UGGGGAAUUUUGCACAAUGGGGGAAACCCUGAUGCAGCGACGCCGCGUGAUUUAGAAGGCCUUCGGGUUGUAAAAAUCUUUUGUAUAGGAAGAAAAUGACAGUACUAUACGAAUAAGGACCGGCUAAUUACGUGCCAGCAGCCGCGGUAAUACGUAAGGUCCGAGCGUUGUCCGGAAUCAUUGGGCGUAAAGGGUACGUAGGCGGGUAAGCAAGUUAGAAGUGAAAUCCUAUAGCUCAACUAUAGUAAGCUUUUAAAACUGCUCAUCUUGAGGUAUGGAAGGGAAAGUGGAAUUCCUAGUGUAGCGGCGAAAUGCGCAGAUAUUAGGAGGAAUACCGGUGGCGAAGGCGACUUUCUGGCCAUAACCUGACGCUGAGGUACGAAAGCGUGGGUAGCAAACAGG